rnacentral:lncRNA from 1 species
GGCAAAACCUGGCUCUUCACAUCGAAAUCCCGCAGGAUGCGGUCAAUGGCACCGUGGGGCAGUCCGUGCUCCUGCCCGUCUCAUACAGAGUCGACAGCUCCCUUCCCUUCCACUGGCAUUGAGUGGAAGUUUGGGAACAGCUCACAAGAGAUCAUCAUCUGCUCGGUGCUGAACUGCUCCCUGGAUGCUUGGGGAGCUCCCAGGAAAUGCUCUGCACGAUAUUUCCCUCAUGCCACGUAUCGGGGCCGCAUUGAGGUCUUCCCAGAGAAUGCAUCCCUGCUGCUGCGGGACCUGCGGCUCAGUGACAGCGGGGUGUACAGCAUUGUCUUCAAACAGCAAAACCAAAGCAGGCAGAUCACCCUGGCCGUAUACAAUCAGCAUGAUUUCUCCGGACAUCCUCAUGAAGGCACCAAGGACCAAGACAACCCUCAUUACUACACAAUUGGAGUUUGCUCCAUUAUCGGCCUCUUUCUGCUGCUCCUGGUCCUCUGCAUAUUGUGGCGAGUGUGGAAGAAGAGGAGAACCAUUACACAGCAGCAGGCCUCAAACACAGAGGAUUCCCACGUGGAAAACCCUGUGGUAAGGGACAUGGCAACAAUUUACGCCACAGUUGGAGAAGAUUUGGAAGAGACAAAGCCAAGAGCAUCACCAGAGACUCUCUACGCAUCCAUAAACCUCCCUCAACUGCCUUCUGCUUCGGCUCCAAGCUUUGCAGGAGACAGAUGUGCCGCAAAGCCAAGGUGAUGCUGUUAACAGUUGUGGUCAGACCUUUGGUGAGGCCACUCCUGCCCAUGGAGUGUUUAAGUGCUUGGAGCAAGAGAUUAUGGGAACGCAUUAGUUUGCCUCAAACUGCAAUUUCUCUGGAAUUUGAGGGUUGAUCUGCUUUUAGUUUCAUGUUGAGACUUCCAGAGAGCACAGAGACACCAAACGCAAGAGAAAGAUGCCUAAAGCAAAGGCAAAGCAACAGUUCACCCAUGAUAAGCUUGCUUCCAGAGAAUGCCUUAAUUUGAGGGGUAAUGGAGGACAUUGGAAGGAUUUCAGUCUUGCAUCACAGGGUCCCUUAGCAAUUGCCUUGUUAUAUUAAAAGAGUGUAUGAAGAACUUUGGACCUGGUGUCCUUGUUUUUAUGAGUAUACCAAGUAAUACCUGAGCAGACCCUUUCUGCAAUAAACUUUGCUCAACAUUGGGGUCCCA